GAUGAACGCUGGCGGCGUGCCUAAUACAUGCAAGUCGAGCGAACGGACGAGAAGCUUGCUUUUCUGAUGUUAGCGGCGGACGGGUGAGUAACACGUGGAUAACCUACCUAUAAGACUGGGAUAACUUCGGGAAACCGGAGCUAAUACCGGAUAAUAUUUUGAACCGCAUGGUUCAAAAGUGAAAGACGGUCUUGCUGUCACUUAUAGAUGGAUCCGCGCUGCAUUAGCUAGUUGGUAAGGUAACGGCUUACCAAGGCAACGAUGCAUAGCCGACCUGAGAGGGUGACCGGCCACACUGGAACUGAGACACGGUCCAGACUCCUACGGGAGGCAGCAGUAGGGAAUCUUCCGCAAUGGGGGAAAGCCUGACGGAGCAACGCCGCGUGAGUGAUGAAGGUCUUCGGAUCGUAAAACUCUGUUAUUAGGGAAGAACAUAUGUGUAAGUAACUGUGCACAUCUUGACGGGACUUAAUCAGAAAGCCACGGCUAACUACG
rnacentral:rRNA from 1 species